rnacentral:rRNA from 1 species
GAUGAACGCUGGCGGCGUGCCUAACACAUGCAAGUCGAGCGAGAAAUUCAAGAUCAAAUCUUCGGAAGAGAGAAAGAAUGGAAAGCGGCGGACGGGUGAGUAACGCGUAGGUAACCUGCCCUGUACAGAGGGAUAGCCACUGGAAACGGUGAUUAAUACCUCAUAAUACCGGAAGUUCACAUGGACAAUCGGUCAAAGAUUUAUCGGUACAGGAUGGACCUGCGUCUGAUUAGUUAGUUGGUGAGGUAACGGCUCACCAAGGCGACGAUCAGUAGCCGACCUGAGAGGGUGAUCGGCCACAUUGGAACUGAGACACGGUCCAAACUCCUACGGGAGGCAGCAGUGGGGAAUAUUGCACAAUGGGGGGAACCCUGAUGCAGCAACGCCGCGUGAAUGAAGAAGGCCUUUGGGUCGUAAAGUUCUGUUCUGAGGGAAGAAGAAAGUGACGGUACCUCAGGAGAAAGCCCCGGCUAACUACGUGCCAGCAGCCGCGGUAAUACGUAGGGGGCAAGCGUUGUCCGGAAUCAUUGGGCGUAAAGAGUACGUAGGCGGUCUGAUAAGCACAAGGUUUAAGGCAACAGCUCAACUGUUGUUCGCCUUGUGAACUGUUAGACUUGAGUGCGGGAGAGGAAAGCGGAAUUCCUGGUGUAGCGGUGAAAUGCGUAGAUAUCAGGAGGAAUACCGGUGGCGAAGGCGGCUUUCUGGACCGUAACUGACGCUGAGGUACGAAAGCGUGGGGAGCAAACAGG